rnacentral:rRNA from 1 species
UACGUAGGGUGCAAGCGUUGUCCGGAAUUACUGGGCGUAAAGCGCGCGCAGGCGGCUAUCCAAGUCAGUGGUGAAAGCCCGGAGCUCAACUCCGGAACUGCCAUUGAAACUGUUUAGCUUGAGGACGAGAGAGGUGAGUGGAAUUCCCAGUGUAGAGGUGAAAUUCGUAGAUAUUGGGAAGAACACCGGUGGCGAAGGCGGCUCACUGGCUCGUAUCUGACGCUCAGGCGCGACAGCGUGGGGAUCAAACAGG